UACGUAGGGUGCGAGCGUUACUCGGAAUUACUGGGCGUAAAGCGUGCGCAGGCGGUUUUGUAAGCCAGAUGUGAAAUCCCCGGGCUUAACCUGGGAACUGCAUUUGUGACUGGCGGGCUAGAGUAUGGCAGAGGGGGGUAGAAUUCCACGUGUAGCAGUGAAAUGCGUAGAGAUGUGGAGGAAUACCGAUGGCGAAGGCAGCCCCCUGGGCCAAUACUGACGCUCAUGCACGAAAGCGUGGGGAGCAAACAGG
rnacentral:rRNA from 1 species